AUGGGGACAACAUUCCGAAAGGAAUGCUAAUACCGAAUGAAGCGGAGGAGGAGGCAUCUCUCCUCCGUGAAAGAUGGCCUCUAUUUAUAAGCUAUCACCUGUCGAUGGGUCUGCGUCUGAUUAGCUAGUUGGUGAGGUAACGGCUCACCAAGGCGACGAUCAGUAGCCGGUCUGAGAGGAUGAACGGCCACAUUGGGACUGAGACACGGCCCAG
rnacentral:rRNA from 1 species